rnacentral:piRNA from 1 species
GUAAAAAAGACUACUCGACUGC